UCUUCCACCACCACAGCUAUCUGUCCUCUACCACCACCGCUGUCUGUCGUCUUCCACCACCAUUCGCUGCCGUCAUUUGCUUUUCCUCUUCCACCACCGCUGUAUCCUUUGCAAAACCCACACGUUUCGGGCCACCAAUCUAUCCAUCAAAGCCUCCCCAAUUGCACAGAUUUGCUUCCUCAUUUUCACCAAAUGGUGAAUGAAGAAAGUUUUGAUGGGGGUAAAAAAAUGGAUGGAGUACAAUCCAAUACUUGUGAAGAAUGUGGUGCUAGUUUCAAGAAACCAGCUUACCUAAAGCAAUAAAUGCAGAGUCAUUCACUUGAGAAGUUAUUGCAUUCUGAGUAUAUAACCAUGGAUGUAUAGCGUGAAGCAUUGGAUCCCACAAGGAACUCCAAAAUGUGCGAGGCUUUAGCUUUGAACUUAAUGUACUAGUAUCAGGUUGGGAGACCUCCUGAGAAGCUCCAUUAAGUAAGCCUCAAAUAUGCGUUGUCUGAACUUGAGAGACCAUUCAUUUGUUCAGUAGACGAUUGCCAUGCCAACUAUAGAAGAAAAAAUCAUUUGACUCGCAACCUGAUUCAACACCAAGGGAAAUUAUUCACCUUCCCCAUUGAGAAAUGCAAUUGUGAGUUCACCAAAGUAACAUGAAGAGACAUGUUAAAGAAUUUCAUGAUGAGGAUUGUUCAUCCUUUGAUGUUAAAGGUCAGAAGCAGUAUAUCUGCCAGGAAGUUGGUUGUGGAAAAAUAUUCAAAUACAAAUCAAAGUUGCAAAAGCACGAGGAAUCACAUGGAUGUAUGAAAUACUUUACAAACAAGGAAUGUCUUGUUACCGAGUAUUCUGAUUGCUUGGGAAUCAGAGCGAUUUUGUCGCUGCUUUUGAUGAGAAAUUCAGGUUGAGACCUAGGGGCAGAAGGAAAAGAAAGUUCCCAACAGUAGAAAUGUUGACAAGAAAGAGAGUGCACGCUCCAAGUUCAACUGGAUCCUGUCUUGUGUAUGAAGAUUGAAUAGAUCUCUAUUAGCUACCAUUUGACAAAGUUAGAUGUAUGUAAUAUAGUAUUUGUAUAUUUGUUUAGAUAUGGAUCUUUAUGUAU